rnacentral:tRNA from 1 species
GUGGGAGAGGCGGGACGGGCUGUAAACCCGUUGCCUUCGGGCUGAGCAGGUUCGAAUCCUGCCUCCUGUA